GAUGAACGCUGGCGGCGUGCCUAAUACAUGCAAGUCGAGCGAACAGAUGAGGAGCUUGCUCCUCUGACGUUAGCGGCGGACGGGUGAGUAACACGUGGAUAACCUACCUAUAAGACUGGGAUAACUUCGGGAAACCGGAGCUAAUACCGGAUAAUAUAUUGAACCGCAUGGUUCAAUAGUGAAAGACGGUUUUGCUGUCACUUAUAGAUGGAUCCGCGCCGCAUUAGCUAGUUGGUAAGGUAACGGCUUACCAAGGCAACGAUGCGUAGCCGACCUGAGAGGGUGAUCGGCCACACUGGAACUGAGACACGGUCCAGACUCCUACGGGAGGCAGCAGUAGGGAAUCUUCCGCAAUGGGCGAAAGCCUGACGGAGCAACGCCGCGUGAGUGAUGAAGGUCUUCGGAUCGUAAAACUCUGUUAUUAGGGAAGAACAAAUGUGUAAGUAUCUAUGCACGUCUUGACGGUACCUAAUCAGAAAGCCACGGCUAACUACGUG
rnacentral:rRNA from 1 species